CAUGGGCAGGUUGAAGGUUGGGUAACACUAACUGGAGGACCGAACCGACUAAUGUUGAAAAAUUAGCGGAUGACCUGUGGCUGGGGGUGAAAGGCCAAUCAAACCGGGAGAUAGCUGGUUCUCCCCGAAAGCUAUUUAGGUAGCGCCUCGUGAAUUCAUCUCCGGGGGUAGAGCACUGUUUCGGCUAGGGGGCCAUCCCGGCUUACCAACCCGAUGCAAACUGCGAAUACCGGAGAAUGUUAUCACGGGAGACACACGGCGGGUGCUAACGUCCGUCGUGAAGAGGGAAACAACCCAGACCGCCAGCUAAGGUCCCAAAGUCAUGGUUAAGUGGGAAACGAUGUGGGAAGGCCCAGACAGCCAGGAUGUUGGCUUAGAAGCAGCCAUCAUUUAAAGAAAGCGUAAUAGCUCACUGGUCGAGUCGGCCUGCGCGGAAGAUGUAACGGGGCUAAACCAUGCACCGAAGCUGCGGCAGCGACACUGUGUGUUGUUGGGUAGGGGAGCGUUCUGUAAGCCUGUGAAGGUGUGUCGUGAGGCAUGCUGGAGGUAUCAGAAGUGCGAAUGCUGACAUAAGUAACGAUAAAGCGGGUGAAAAGCCCGCUCGCCGGAAGACCAAGGGUUCCUGUCCAACGUUAAUCGGGGCAGGGUGAGUCGACCCCUAAGGCGAGGCCGAAAGGCGUAGUCGAUGGGAAACGGGUUAAUAUUCCCGUACUUGGUGUUACUGCGAAGGGGGGACGGAGAAGGCUAUGUUGGCCGGGCGACGGUUGUCCCGG
rnacentral:rRNA from 1 species